rnacentral:lncRNA from 1 species
ACGAUUCUUAAUUGAAGGCCUUGUUAGGGUUUGUCAAAGGGAGAUAGAGUUGGUGAGAAUAGAAGCAUGAAAAUGAGGGAGACAAGUUUGGAAGAAAAUGGGAGGAAGAAUGAAAAAAGAAGAGAUUGCUUCAGAUGAGAAAGAGAAUGGUAAAGUUGAAAGUCUAACAUAAUUUUUCACCCAGCCAUUUGUUGAAUCCCUAUUCCGUGGGGAGAGUGCCGAAUUGUAAACGGCACUUUUGCGUUGAAUAAGGUCG